GUGAAUCAUCAAAUCUUUGAACGCAAAUUGCACUCUCCUCGGAGAGUAUGCCUGUUUGAGGGUCAGCCUAUAAAUAAUCGACAUCGCCGCUGUUUCGCGGUGGUGGUCGUCGGAAAUUGGGCCAUCUUAAAUCUUUUUGAUUUAAGUGAUUUAAAAUUAUUCUUUGGUUCCUUGAACGUUCCUAAGA
rnacentral:misc_RNA from 1 species